AGCGAACGCUGGCGGCAGGCCUAACACAUGCAAGUCGAACGAAGUCUUCGGACUUAGUGGCGGACGGGUGAGUAACACGUGGGAACGUGCCUUUAGGUUCGGAAUAACUCAGGGAAACUUGUGCUAAUACCGAAUGUGCCCUUCGGGGGAAAGAUUUAUCGCCUUUAGAGCGGCCCGCGUCUGAUUAGCUAGUUGGUGAGGUAAUGGCUCACCAAGGCGACGAUCAGUAGCUGGUCUGAGAGGAUGACCAGCCACCUUGGGACUGAGACACGGCCCAAACUCCUACGGGAGGCAGCUGUGGGGAAUCUUGCGCAAUGGGCGAAAGCCUGACGCAGCCAUGCCGCGUGGAUGAUGAAGGUCUUAGGAUUGUAAAAUCCUUUCACCGGUGAAGAUAAUGACUGUAGCCGGAGAAGAAGCCCCGGCUAACUUCGUGCCAGCCGCCGCGGUAACAC
rnacentral:rRNA from 1 species